AUUGAACGCUGGCGGCAGGCUUAACACAUGCAAGUCGAGCGGAGAGAGGUAGCUUGCUACUGAUCUUAGCGGCGGACGGGUGAGUAAUGCUUAGGAAUCUGCCUAUUAGUGGGGGACAACAUUUCGAAAGGAAUGCUAAUACCGCAUACGUCCUACGGGAGAAAGCAGGGGAUCUUCGGACCUUGCGCUAAUAGAUGAGCCUAAGGCGGAUUAGCUAGUUGGUGGGGUAAAGGCCUACCAAGGCGACGAUCUGUAGCGGGUCUGAGGAGGUGGUCCGGCACACUGGGACUGGGAAACGGCCCAGACUCCUACGGGAGGCAGCAGUGGGGAAUAUUGGACAAUGGGCGGAAGCCUGAUCCAGCCAUGCCGCGUGUGUGAAGAAGGCCUUAUGGUUGUAAAGCACUUUAAGCGAGGAGGAGGCUACUUUAGUUAAUACCUAGAGAUAGUGGACGUUACUCGCAGAAUAAGCACCGGCUAACUCUGUGCCAGCCGCCGCAGUAAUAC
rnacentral:rRNA from 1 species